rnacentral:rRNA from 2 species
UUUAAUGGAGAGUUUGAUCCUGGCUCAGGACGAACGCUGGCGGCGUGCCUAAUACAUGCAAGUCGAGCG